rnacentral:rRNA from 1 species
CCGGCUAACUCCGUGCCAGCAGCCGCGGUAAUACGUAGGGGGCGAGCGUUAUCCGGAAUUACUGGGCGUAAAGGGUGCGCAGGCGGCUUUGUAAGUCGGGGGUGAAAUCCCCGGGCUCAACCGGGGAACUGCGUUUGAAACUGCCGGCCUGGAGUGCGGGAGAGGGGGGCGGAAUUCCCGGUGUAGCGGUGAAAUGCGUAGAUA